rnacentral:rRNA from 1 species
UUCGGUUCGGAAUAACAGUUAGAAAUGACUGCUAAUACCGGAUGAUGACGUAAGUCCAAAGAUUAUCGCCGAAGGAUGAGCCCGCGUAGGAUUAGGUAGUUGGUAGGGUAAUGGCCUACCAAGCCGACGAUCCUUAGCUGGUCUGAGAGGAUGAUCAGCCACACUGGGACUGAGACACGGCCCAGACUCCUACGGGAGGCAGCAGUGGGGAAGUAUUGGACAAUGAGCGAAAGCCUGAUCCAGCAAUGCCGCGUGAGUGAUGAAGGCCUUAGGGUUGUAAAGCUCUUUUACCUAGGGAUGAUAAUGACAGUACCUGGAGAAUAAGCUCCGGCUAACUCCGUG